AGGUUGCUGCUUACAUACGUUUUCGUCGACUAAAAACUGCGUAUUUGAUAGCUGUGGCAAGUGAUAGAGUUGGCGAUGUGAAAACCAUUGCAAAUAUGGCAAGAGAAACUGAACAAACCAAAGUAUACAAUAUUUGUAUGAAGUGGUUGGAAACCAGACAGGCAAAACAGGAAAGACAAGACGUUUUCCUUACAAGAGACUGAGCGAGAACGCGCGCUAUUGUGCAGAUUGGUUAACAUAACCGGUAUAUAAUAGAUAAGAUCAGUUUUACAUGCAUUAGACUGUUUCAUAUAGGCCUGUAUUCGCCAUUGUUCGCCCCGAAAAUUUCUGAAUAUUAUGAAAUUGUAUAAGUGUAACAUUGGCUAAGUUGAUACUGGGAACACGAAACUGGAUGUCGAAUGUCGUGCAUCGAAUAUUGACGAUAUUCUAAAUAAACGUUUUAUUGCUGUGAAUGAUAAAUUGCAUACACAAACAGGGCUACCGUCAAUUCUUUAUUAAGUUAGGCCUACGAGAGCUUGUUUAUUUCAGGCAUGUGGGGAUUAGAAAAUAGGACUUAAUAGAUCGUGAGAUUUUUAACCCAAACACAGCAAGAGAGGCAAUGAAGUAAUAAAUCUAAUCAGGCAAAUUAAUCUAAUAUGUAGCCUACAGGUUAGGGUUGUUAGCCUAUAGGGUUGUUUUUCUCCAAUAAAGUCUUCUUAUAUAUUCAUUACAAAC
rnacentral:lncRNA from 1 species